rnacentral:rRNA from 1 species
UACAGAGGGGGCAAGCGUUAUUCGGAAUUAUUGGGCGUAAAGGGCGCGUAGGCGGCUUGGUAAGUGGAUGGUGAAAUCCCUCGGCUUAACCGAGGAACUGCCGUCCAAACUGCUUCGCUUGAGACCGGGAGAGGUGAGUGGAAUUCCCAGUGUAGCGGUGAAAUGCGUAGAUAUUGGGAGGAACACCAGUGGCGAAGGCGGCUCACUGGACCGGUACUGACGCUGAAGCGCGAAAGCGUGGGGAGCAAACGGG